rnacentral:rRNA from 1 species
GACGAACGCUGGCGGCGUGCUUAACACAUGCAAGUCGAACGAAGUGGCGAACGGGUGAGUAACGCGUAAUCAACCUGCCCUUCAGAGGGGGACAACAGUUGGAAACGACUGCUAAUACCGCAUACUGAAGUAGGGGAUUGCGUCUGAUUCGCUAGUUGGUGGGGUAACGGCGAACCAAGACGAUGACCAGUAGCCGGUGGAAGAGGAGGAACGGCGACAUUGGGACGGAGACACGGCCCAGACUGCUACGGGAGGCAGCAGUGGGGAAUCUGCCGCAAUGGACGAAAGGCGGACGGAGCAACGCAGCGUGAGUGAGGACAGCCUUCGGGUUGGAAAGCUCUGUUAAUCGGGACGCGGAACCGGAAUAGAAAGCCACAGCAAACUACGAGCCAGCAGCCGCGGUAAUAC